rnacentral:rRNA from 1 species
AGAGUGAACGCUGGCGGUAGGCCUAACACAUGCAAGUCGAACGGCAGCACAGGAGAGCUUGCUCUCUGGGUGGCGAGUGGCGGACGGGUGAGGAAUACAUCGGAAUCUACCUUUUCGUGGGGGAUAACGUAGGGAAACUUACGCUAAUACCGCAUAAGACCUUCGGGUGAAAGCCGGGGACCUUCGGGCCUGGCGCGGAUAGAUGAGCCGAUGUCGGAUUAGCUUGGUUGGCGGGGUAAAAGCCCACCAAGGCGACGAUCCGUAGCUGGUCUGAGAGGAUGAUCAGCCACACUGGAACUGAGACACGGUCCAGACUCCUACGGGAGCAGCAGUGGGGAAUAUGGACAAUGGGCGCAAGCCUGACUCCAGCCAUACCGCGUGGGUGAAGAAGGCCGUUCGGUGUAACGUCCUUUUGUAGGUAAAGAAUCCGUAGUCCGGUUAAUAACCGUAGUAGGAGUAGACCGGUAACCGAAAGAAUAA